UGAAUGAAUUAUUUUCCUUUGACAUCUCUUUCCUUUCUAGGGCCUUGCCAGCCAGUAAUUGCUGCCGUUCAGGUUCCCUGCCAAAACUACGAGGUCCAGAUCUCCUGGAAUUAUACAGAGGGUGCUAUGAAUUACCUGGUCAAGACCGCAGGGAAUCGUGGGUAUAUGAAGACCCACAACACGACACAAAGCUUUCUGUACAGCACUUUACCAUGUGGACAAGAGUUCAACGUCACUGUUCAAGGACAGGGCAGCGUGUGUGACAGCACCCCCAGCAGUCCCGCCUUCUUCAAAACUGGCCCAUGCAUCCCCUCAAAUGUAACAACCCAAGUGCAGUGCGAGCUUAAUCGGGGCUCUGUCAGCUGGAGGCCAAGCGAUGGUGCUGAAUUCUAUAUUGUCAUUGCAACUGGUGUGGAUAACCACACUCACCAAUGUCUCACCAACACAACCUCCUGCACCUGGACUGACCUGCACUGUGGGGAGGAGUACACUGUUGUGGUGAGAGCAAAGACCACCAAUUGCAGCAGCCUGCCAAGCAACAGCUCCAUCAUUUACACAGGUACUGAAAGUUUGUGAAUCAUGAGAGAUUUCACUUAGUAUGCAAGGACUUUGCAUUGAUUAGAACAUCAGACCGCUUAAAUGUCACUCAACAUCUUUACUUUCCUGCAGGUCCCUGUGCACCGCAAAAUUUGGAUGCAACUGUUAACUGUGGAACAAAAGUUGUUGCUUUGAAAUGGAAUGCCUCCAACAGGACUCAUUUGUACACAGUAUCAGCUGAAGGGGGAGAUAAAUCAGUUAGUCUCCAGAGUAAUACAACCACAGCCCUCCUCUCUGAGCUCACAUGUGGACAAAACUACAGCCUGACAGUCACACCUUACAGCCAACACUGCGUGGGGAACUACAACGCGUACGCCUCUGUGCUGACCUGUACGUGCUGUUUCAACACUAUGUUUAUUAUCAUAAACACAAUUUUCAAAGUUUUGAUCAAAGUGGUGUUUUUUUGCUAGGGCCAUGUAAACCUGCAGGAGUCUUUGCAACACAGGCUUGCCUUUCCAAUUCCGUCAUGGUGGCAUGGCAGCCAAGCAAUGGCACGGAGUAUUACACCGCCGCCGUGCAAACAGUGAAUGGCGUUUCAAAAUUUUGCAAGACCAACACAAGCGCAUGCACUGUUAAUGCACUGAUGUGUGGAGAAAACUACUCUGUGUCUGUCACGGCUUCCAACAAACAGUGUAAUGUCACUUCCAGUCAAACCACGAGUGUGCAGUCAGUGCCUUGUAGUCCCACUAAUGUAUCCGUGUUCAUGGACUGCUCCAACAAUUCUGCUUUGGUGUCCUGGUCUGCCAGUCGUGGCGCUGUGAAGUACUCUGUGAACGCCAUCAGCAGUCACGGCAAUGACAGCUGUCAGACAUCUGGUCUUGCCUGUCGUCUCAGCCUUGCAUGUGGCAGCCUUUACACUGUUCAGGUUGUUGCCAUGGAUGACAACUGCUCAAGUUUUCCCAGCACUCCUGUGGAGUUCACCUCAGGUGGGAGAUUUGACUCCACUUGACAGGAUAGCAACACUCCAUCAGUUGAUUAAAUCAUUAUAUUUUAUGUUUUCAGGUCCCUGUCCACCUAGUAAUGUGAGUGCCCAAAUUACAUGUCAGUCAAGCAAUAUGAAUGUUUACUGGAACGCCAUCAGAGAUGCCGACCACUUUUUAGUAUCAUUAACUUCUGUGAAUAGAACUAUUCAGUUAUGCAACACCACAACUACUACAUGCUUCAUCAGCAAUGCAACAUGUGGAGAAACAUUUACCAUCCAAGUCACCUCCGUGAGAGGCAAAUGUCUCAGUCAGCCCCAUCAAACCUCCACCAUCCAGACAGGUUGGCAGCUGCUUUAUUUUUAAUUGGAUUGUCCUUUGCAGAAAUCCCUCCCUCUUACUAGAAACUUUGUUGCUUAUUUCUUAGCUCCCUGCCAGCCUAAAGGAGUAAAUGGCUACAUUGACUGUGUAUCGAACUCGGCUUGGAUCACGUGGGACACUGCUCUCGGAGCGAGCAACUAUACAGUGUCAGCUGUAGGUUCAGGGAUCUCCAAAACCAACUGCACUUCCAUCACAGACACGAGAUGUGAGGUGAAGGACCUAGCCUGUGGUGUAUCGUUCAACUUCACAGUUACUGCUACAAACAGCAGGUGUGACAGUCAACCAAGUGCUCCUUUCAGCUUGGAAACAGGUAUUUACAAUCUAAAGUUUAUUUGUGAAAUAUUUGUUCGUGCAGCCGAGUGAAACUCAUGUAAUCUAUACUCCCUCAGCCCCCUGUUCGCUCUCUGCAAUCACUGCUUUUACUCAGUGCCACAACUCCUCCAUCCUGGUGAUAUGGGAUCUGAACGGCAGCAGGGGAACUUCUGCGUACAUCGCCACAGCUGAAGCCAGUGACCAUACCUAUCUGACCUGUAAUAGCACCAGCAGCAGCUGCUACCUGUCUGGGGCGAAGUGUGACCUUCAGUACACCAUCAUAGUCGCAGCAUCUUCAGACCGCUGCAGCAGUCUGAGAA
ensembl:lncRNA